UACGAAGGGUGCAAGCGUUAAUCGGAAUUACUGGGCGUAAAGGGUGCGUAGGUGGUUGUUUAAGUCUGUCGUGAAAUCCCCGGGCUCAACCUGGGAAUGGCGAUGGAUACUGGGCAGCUAGAGUGUGUCAGAGGAUGGUGGAAUUCCCGGUGUAGCGGUGAAAUGCGUAGAGAUCGGGAGGAACAUCAGUGGCGAAGGCGGCCAUCUGGGACAAGACUGACGCUGAAGCACGAAAGCGUGGGGAGCAAACAGG
rnacentral:rRNA from 1 species